AAGGCUUCAGUACGACCCAGUCAGAACAAUAAGUCUCAAAGCCCCGACGAGUAGGGUGGCGUGCCGGUGCGCGUUGAAGGCCAAGACGUGAGUCAGGCUGGAGCCGCCGGUAGUGCAGAUCUUGGUGGUAGUAGCAAGUACUCUGGUGAACCAACCUGGAGCUGUGAGGUCUGGAUUAGGGUUCCAUGUCAACAGUGAUUGAACAUGGGUGAGUCGAUCCUAAGCCAACUGUGAAAGCAGUGACAUCCCGACAACGGGGCAGUACAUGCCCGGCACUUACACCCCCAAAAGCUAACUCUUGAGUAUCUGUGUUCUCUCUCUCUCAGUGUGUGGCUCAAAAACUCUCUGUGACGAAAAGGUGUCUGGUACGCGCAUACACACGGUGAUCACUAAAAAAAUACCUGUGUGAGUGUGUGUGCGCGAGCGCUCGCGUUGCGCUGGUCUGGUUACGCUCAUAAGCGUUGUCUGUCUCUCUAUAGCAAAAGGAUAUGAGAGAGAGAGAGAGAAAGAGAGUGUGGGUGAGCGUGAGUUUUGCUCUUGCAUGAGUCCCCUGAGUCUGGUUCUAUGUCUGGCGAAAGGGAAUGGGGACUUUGUUCCUUGACCGGUCCCGGCACCCUCGAUUGGCUUUGCCAAUUAAUGGUCCAUGCAAAUGGAGCCAGGCCACAGCCGCCGGCAGUCGCCCGAGGAAGAGUUUUCUUUUCUGCUUAACGCACGAGGUCAUCCCUGGAAACAGUUCGGCUGGCGAAAGGGUGCCCCGUUGCGGCAGA
rnacentral:rRNA from 1 species